AUUGAACGCUGGCGGCAUGCCUUACACAUGCAAGUCGAACGGUAACAGGUCUUCGGAUGCUGACGAGUGGCGAACGGGUGAGUAAUACAUCGGAACGUGCCCGAUCGUGGGGGAUAACGAAGCGAAAGCUUUGCUAAUACCGCAUAAGAUCUAAGGAUGAAAGCAGGGGACCGCAAGGCCUUGCGCGAACGGAGCGGCCGAUGGCUGAUUAGGUAGUUGGUGGGAUAAAAGCUUACCAAGCCGACAAUCUGUAGCUGGUCUGAGAGGACGACCCGCCACAGUGAGACGGAGACACGGCACAGACUCCUAAGGGAGGCAGCAGUGGGGAAUUUUGGACAAUGGGCGAAAGCCUGAUCCAGCCAUGCCGCGUGCAGGAUGAAGGCCUUCGGGUUGUAAACUGCUUUUGUACGGAAAGAAAAGACUCUGGUUAAUACCUGGGGUCCAUGGCGGUACCGUAAGAAUAAGCACCGGCUAACUACGUGCCAGCCGCCGCGGUAAUAC
rnacentral:rRNA from 1 species